rnacentral:lncRNA from 1 species
UUUUAUCUUGAACUGAUACUUAGUGUAAGUGAAAAGGUCAGAGUUGGGAUUCCUGGUUUGAGUAUCAUGCUUUGUCAUUUUAAGGUUUUAGAUGUCACAUGUAUUUUGAAAGUAAAAGGAUAAAAUGAGUGAGCUUUGUCAUGAUUCACUAUUCUAGAACUUGCAUGACCUUUAUUGUGUUUCCUCUGGAAUGUUCUUGAAAUUUUAGUUUACUAAAGAUAGCAUAUUAGACUUGCCAACUUACUGCUCAGCUGUGUUUGUGAACAAGUGAUAUGCCCUUACAUUGUAUACAAUCUGGUAUGUGCAACAAUGUGGAGAUUCCUCAAAUGAUUUAAUAAAAUGCUUGAACACUG